UUUUUUUCUUAAUAUGUGUACACUUAUUUCAAGAAACUGAAAACAUGUCUAAAAUGGUAAAUUUUUGUAGUAAUCAACUUAAAAUCUCCACUUUUCUUCUACAACCCCUUUAAAUACGGCAAAAGUUGAACAUCAAAGUUACUAUCAACGCCAACUUGGCAACGGAGUUAAUAAAUGACAAUUUUCAGCUCUAAAAGUGACGUCAGCGGGAACACCAACUGCAGCGAAACGCGAAAGAAAAACAACGCCCUGAAAAUGGAAGUGGAAAUGAUCAGAGGGACUUUCCGCAACGACGAAAUGGCAAGAAUAAAAGGGGUGCCAACAGAAAUUGUGGGUCACUACAAUCCAGAGGGAGACGCGUAACUACCGAGUGUUGAUCGUCCCUCAAGUAUUUUUUGAUGUUAAAGUUUGUACUGACUGGAAAUGGGAACAAUAAAAGCAUGAAUGAAACAACAA